rfam:Homo sapiens chromosome 20, GRCh38 reference primary assembly.
AUCACCUGGGGAUCUUGUUAAAAUGCAGGCUCUAGUUCAGGAGGUCUGGAUGGGGCCUGAGAGUCUGCAUUUCUAACAAGUUCCCCAGUGAUGCUGU